GGAGGCUGUGGCUUGGGGGAACAGCAUCUGCUUGGUAUGCAGAAGGUCACAGGCUCAAUCCCUGAUGUCUCCA
rnacentral:tRNA from 1 species